GCUCUCGGCGCACGUUAGUCAAAUGUACGCCGCUGGUGGCUGCCAUGGCGAGAGGACGAGGAAAAGGCCCAGGUCGGCCUCGUAAAAGAACCUAUCAUCGCGUUUGGGAGCUCGGUGGGAGCUCAAGUGCAAGUGGAAACUACGAAGAAGGGUAAACAGCCUGCUCAGAAGGUGAACAACGAUGGGCAAAAAGUAGAUCCGGCAAACUCCUUUUCGGGACAGAGUGGGGUCACGAAGAGGCUAAACCUUACCCCCUCACCAUCUUGUACUACCAAUUUGACUAUUCAAACACCUGGGUGUACAAACCCUUACCUUGCUAACAUGGCGACUAACUCAGAUCCGACUGAAUCAAAAAUGCAAUAAGAAGAGAUAACACAGGAGGGUCAAGUUGAUACUCAGACGCAGUAGCUCCUUGGAAUACUCUUUUUGCAAAGAAUCGAGCAGCAGCAAAUGGCUGCAGAAGGUCAUUGCCACAAUCAUCAAUGAAGCCCAAUCUGGUUUUAUUCCCGGAAGAAAGAUAGCUGAUAAUAUUAUUCUAGCCAACGAACUGGUCAGAGCUUAUUCUAGGAAGCAUAUCUCGUACAAGAUGCAUGGUAAAAAUUGAUUUACAAAAGACAUAUGACUCGGUAGAAUGGGGAUACUUGAAACAAGUGCUAGAAGCUUUAUGUUUCCCUAUCAAAUUUGUUCAAUGGAUCAUGGAAUGCAUCUACACUGUUAACUACUCUAUCAUGAUAAAUGGUGAACCCUCUAAACCAUGGGAUGCUGCUAGAGGAUUGAGACAGGGGGACCCUAUAUCCCCCUAUCUAUUUGCAAUUUCCAUGGAGUACUUGAGUCGGUGCUUGGGGGAAUUAAAGGAUUACAAGAAAUUCAAAUUUCAUCCUAAAUGUGCAAGAAAUGGAGUUACACACCUAUCUUUCACUGAUGAUCUUUUGUUGUUUACAAGGGUGGAUCUAGACUCUAUUUCUGCUAUUUUUGACAAAUUCCAAAACUUCUCACAAGCAUCAGGAUUACAGGCAAACAGAGGCAAAAGUAGUAUGUACUUUGGAGGGGUAACGGAUGCAGUGAAGAAUACAAUUACACAGCAACUUGGAUUUGGUAUUGGUGAGUUACCUUUUAAAUAUCUCGGUAUCCCCCUUUCCACAAAAAAUUAACUACACUCUAGUGGUCCCUACUCAUUGAUAAGAUGGUAGCUAGAAUCUCCUCAUGGAUAGCGAAGAAACUUUCUUAUGCUGGGCGAGUUCAAAUAGUCCAAUAAGUACCGUUUGGUAUCCAAUCUUACUGGUCUCAGCUGUUUGUGAUUCCUUCAAAGUUCCUUAAAGUCAUUGAUGCUUUUUGUCGGAGUUACAUAUGGUUAGGCACUAACACUAUCACAAAGAGGGCUCUAAUAUCUUGGGACAGGAUGUGCUUACCUAUCUCUGCUGGAGGCCUUAACCUCAUCACUAUGCAGAUUUGGAAUAAGGCAGAAAUUGUAAAAACCUGUUGGGACUUGGCUCAAAA